AGCUCCAAUAGCGUAUAUUAAAGUUGUUGCAGUUAAAAUGCUCGUAGUUGAAUGUUUGCAGAGGCCAACGCGAUUGCUCGACAUCGUGUCAGCUCUGUGUUGGCUUCGCUCCCGCAUGUCACUCGCUCUUAACUGAACGAGUUGCGCGUGCAUUUUACUUUGAGAAACUUAGGGUGUUCCAAGCAUGUUUUCGCAUGAAUAUUCCAGCAUGGUAUAAAUUGGUACGACUUUGGCUCUGCCUUUUGGUUCGCAGGACUAGAGUAAUGAUUAACAGGGACUGUCGGGGGCAUUAGUAUUCCAACUGUCAGAGGUGAAAUUCUUAGAUUUGUUGAGGACUAACUACUGCGAAAGCAUUUGCCAAGGAUGUCUCCA
rnacentral:rRNA from 1 species